rnacentral:sRNA from 1 species
GGAUCAGCCUCAGCCCUCACCUGCCUGGGGAGCUGGCCAUCUGCAGCCGCUCAGGAGCCGUCUGCCUGUGGAGCCCUGAGGAUGGGCUGCAGCAAAUCUACAAGGACCCUGAGACCCUUGUGUUCCGGGAGUCCUCUUCAUGGCGUUGGGCAGACUUCACUGCCCACCCUCGGCUGCUGACCGUUGGUGACCGCACUGGAGUGAAGAUGCUUGACACUCAGGUAUGGGGUGGCGGCAGGAGACCUGCCCCAACUGCGGG